AUACUUACCUGGCGUAGAGGGAUACCGAGAUCAUGCAGGCGGUUUCCCCAGGGCGAGGCUGCUCCAUUGCACUGCGGAGUGGUGUUAGCCCCUUGCAAUUAUUUUUAUUUUUAUCAAUAAAAAAAUCAUAAUAAAAAUGUAUACCCGUAUAAUUAUUGUCUUUAUAC
rnacentral:snRNA from 1 species